rnacentral:rRNA from 1 species
AUUGAACGCUGGCGGUAGGCCUAACACAUGCAAGUCGAACGCGAAAGUCCUUCGGGAGUGAGUAGAGUGGCGGACGGGUGAGUAACGCGUAGGAAUCUAUCCUGUAGUGGGGGAGUAACGUUUCGAAAGGAACGCUAAUACCGCAUACGCCCCAACGGGGGAAAGGCGGGGGAGUCUUCGGACCUCGUGCUAUAGGAGGAGCCUGCGUCGGAUUAGCUAGUUGGUGAGGUAAAGGCUCACCAAGGCGACGAUCCGUAGCUGGUCUGAGAGGAUGAUCAGCCACACCGGAACUGAGACACGGUCCGGACUCCUACGGGAGGCAGCAGUGGGGAAUAUUGCGCAAUGGGCGAAAGCCUGACGCAGCCAUACCGCGUGUGUGAAGAAGGCCUCGGUGUAAGACACUUCAGUGGGAGGGAAAGGACUGGUGGCGUAAUAUACCAUCGG